rnacentral:rRNA from 1 species
AGCGAACGCUGGCGGCAGGCCUAACACAUGCAAGUCGAACGGACCCUUCGGGGUUAGUGGCGGACGGGUGAGUAACACGUGGGAACGUGCCUUUAGGUUCGGAAUAGCUCCUGGAAACGGGUGGUAAUGCCGAAUGUGCCCUUCGGGGAAAGAUUUAUCGCCUUUAGAGCGGCCCGCGUCUGAUUAGCUUGUUGGUGAGG